UACGUAGGGUGCAAGCGUUGUCCGGAAUUAUUGGGCGUAAAGAGCUCGUAGGCGGUCUGUCGCGUCCGCUGUGAAAAUCCAGGGCUCAACCCUGGACCUGCAGUGGGUACGGGCAGACUAGAGUGCGGUAGGGGAGUCUGGAAUUCCUGGUGUAGCGGUGAAAUGCGCAGAUAUCAGGAGGAACACCGGUGGCGAAGGCGGGACUCUGGGCCGAUACUGACGCUGAGGAGCGAAAGCGUGGGGAGCAAACAGG
rnacentral:rRNA from 1 species